UGUGUUGAGUGUCUGCUGCAUGCCAGGCACUGUGCUGGGUAUCCAAAAUCAUGCUCUCACUGAGCUUCUGGACCUGGUUGGCAAGAAAACCACAGCAGGUGUGAAGACGGGGGCAAAAGCCCUAUGAAGACAUACAGGACAAACACCUGAUUAUGGUUGAGUGAAAUGAGUGGCUUCUGAGAGAGGUGCCUUUGAAAAUGAGUCUUGAAGGAUAAGGUCAGCAGAGACCUGAUGGAGUUAAGGAGGUGAAGGGCAGGAAGAACGUGUUCCAGACAGAGGAGGAAGGAUUGAACAAGGUCCACUGUGGCUGCACCCCUGCAAACCAGGAGGGCCGGUGGGUCAGAGCCAUAGAAAGACUGCUCAAGGGAGACUUGACUCCAUGCUAGGCCUGCUAGCAGACUAUUAAAGGAUGGUAGCAGAUGGAUGAGAUGCACCCUCACCUCUGGCUCCUCUUCGCAUCCAGAGUUGCUUUACUCUUGCCUCCCAAACAGAGGAAUCUUCCAUCAAAACAAUUAGGAGACCCCAGGCAGCUGUCUUCUGGGAACAUCCUUCUAACAGCAACAGUCCCCCACCCACCAAGCUACUCCCUACAUCCAAAUGAUUCCCGAGGUUGCAGUUAGAUUAGUACAUGGUGACUGUGCCCUUGGGAGAUGCUAGGUCCUGGCCUGACAACCUGACCUGACCUAGGAUGAGCCCAUCAGAGACCUUUCAAAGCCAGGCUUUCUGUCUUGUGAGCCACAUAAACAGGGAAACUCAUCUCAAGAAGACAGGGAGAACUGAUAAAAUUUGUGGAGAGGAGGAGGAUGCAAGUCAGAAGGAGAGGACUCUGUUGGUAUCUGGGUCCCUGGUCUCAAUUUUUUUCUGAAACCCAGCUAUCCUUAAAUCCUGAAACACACCAGAAUACCUUCAAAAUUAAUUUCCUUUGCUAUUAGGCUAGUUCAAGUGGGACUUCUGUCACUUGCAACCAAAAGAGUCCUAAGAAUGUCACGUGACUCUCUUUCAUUCAUGACCUCACUGUGAGGUAUGAGAUCUCUGUAACUGCACUCGGUCUACCUAGAUCAGCAUCUUCUUUACCGGUGGGCUCCUUUAAGAAAGUUUAAUAUAUUGGG